GCGCCAUUAGCUCAAUUGGAUAGAGUGCCUGGCUUCGAACCAGUAGGUUGAGGGUUCGAGUCCCCCAUGGCGCACCA
rnacentral:tRNA from 2 species